GGGGAUGGACCUCCAGAUUUCCUUACUGACCUGCAUUAUCUUGUGGAUACCUGAGUGAAUUCCACACCACCCAUUUUAUAGAUGAAACCACUGAGACAUGGAGCAAUUGACUGAGUAGUCACUGCCCCACCCCUGCCUGGAGCCUCACACAUGACUCGCCUCCUCUCAGUGACCACAGGAAAACAAGCUCAGGGCUCCCACUGAUUGUACAUUAUGAGACGGAGUCUUGCUAUGUUGCCCAGGCUGGUCUUGAACUCCUCACCUCAAGCGAUCCUCCCGUCUUGGCCUCCCAAGUGUCAGGAUUACGGGCAUGUGCUAUCACACCCAACCUGAUACAUUGCCUUUAUAAAUUUUUUUUUCUUUAUUCUAAAAACCAGAAAAAACAAAACUGGAUACAUGUGCAGAACAUGCAGGUGAGACGUGGUCUUGUAACACAGUGGUUAAGAAUGUGACUUUGGAGCCAGCCUGCUAGGGGCUGAAUUCUGACUCAGCCAUUUACUAACUGUGUGACCUUAGGUCACAGAAUUUUCCACACUCCUUGACAGAGGUGCUUAACCCUUAUCCAUCAGCAUUCUCAGACAGCACCUCCGGUUAGGGACAGUAUCUGACCGUCCGACAUCCCUGCAGCCCCCA
rnacentral:lncRNA from 10 species